rnacentral:rRNA from 1 species
UACGUAGGGUCCGAGCGUUGUCCGGAAUUACUGGGCGUAAAGCGCUCAUAGGUGGUUUGUCGCGUUGUUCGUGAAAACUCACAGCUCAACUGUGGGCGUGCGGGCGAUACGGGCAGACUGGAGUACUGCAGGGGAGACUGGAAUUCCUGGUGUAGCGGUGGAAUGCGCAGAUAUCAGGAGGAACACCGGUGGCGAAGGCGGGUCUCUGGGCAGUAACUGACGCUGAGGAGCGAAAGCGUGGGGAGCGAACAGG